UACGUAGGGUGCGAGCGUUGUCCGGAAUUAUUGGGCGUAAAGAGCUUGUAGGCGGUUUGUCGCGUCUGCUGUGAAAUCUCAAGGCUCAACCUUGAGCUUGCAGUGGGUACGGGCAGACUAGAGUGUGGUAGGGGAGACUGGAAUUCCUGGUGUAGCGGUGAAAUGCGUAGAUAUCUGGAGGAACACCGGUGGCGAAGGCGGCAUCCUGGACCGGUAUUGACGCUGAUGCGCGAAAGCCAGGGGAGCGAACGGGG
rnacentral:rRNA from 1 species